rnacentral:sRNA from 1 species
CCUCGCUGCAGCACAGGAUGUGCUCGGAUCAAGGAAGAUGGCCAGGACAGGACGUCACCCGACAGGAUGUCGGAUGGCCAAUAAAAGAACCCGCUUCGGCGGGUUUUUU